GAAUGGUGAAGAAGUAAACGCACACGGCAGAGCUGAUAAACUUUAUCGAUUUUUGGCUGUUAUAAAAGUGUUCCAUUUCAAUGGCUUCCGCACAUUUACUAUCAACUCUCCCGUUAAUACUUUGGCUUCAUCUCUGCAGGUAAGUGCAUAAUUUAUUUUCGAUUUGGUUAGAUCAUCUUAUUCUGAUACUGUAUUUAUUAUUUAAUAUGCGGUUUGUGCUUAAUUUUGAAUUUCAAGCUUGAAUGGUCUGGGAGUGGGACUCUUGGAAUUAUCUGUCUUUAAUUGGCUGUGUUUCUAAAUUUUACUUGUUUGUUUUAUACUCCAUCCAUUCAACAAAAUAUCCGAUAUUUGCGUUGGAUAUUAUCUGUAUCCGUAUCAAAUCAAAUAUUAUCCUUAUUAGUAUUCAUAUUAGUUCAAAGCUGAUACAGAUAUAUAUGCAUAUUAAUAUCCAUAUUCGUAAUAUCAAUAUAUAUAUAUAUAUAUAUAUAUAUAUAUAUAUAUAUAUAUAUAUUGCUAACUAUANNNNNNNNNNNNNNNNNNNNNNNNNNNNNNNNNNNNNNNNNNNNNNNNNNNNNNNNNNNNNNNNNNNNNNNNNNNNNNNNNNNNNNNNNNNNNNNNNNNNUUAACAUUGUCAAUUAUAUUCAAUGUAUUUAUUUGUAUGAAUAAUUUCAUAAGAAUUAAAUUUUAACAUUGUCAAUUAUUGUGACAAUUUGAUUAUUUAAAAUUUAAACUCCAUAUUGUAAUACAAUUUGAUUUAAUUAAUAUAAAUUAUAUUACAAAUAAAUAUAUUGAAACUAUUUAAAUCUAACUUAGGUGAGGGUAUUUAUGACAUUCCUCCAUACCUCUACUAAGAGUACAUGCAUGUAAAAAUAAGUUUUAUGUGUCGCUACUCUUAGUAGCGACAAUGGUUUAAUUUCAUUUUGCCUGCUGCUAUGAGUCGCGACAGAGGUUUAAUCUCUAUUAAUCUCGUCUGUUAGAUCUUGACGGUGAGAGAUGUGUUUACUGGAAUAGUGUCUAUAACAACUACUUACUAUGAAUCACUUCUCAUAUAUAUAUAUAUAUAUUGCUAAAUACAUUUACAUAUAUACAUAUAUAUGUAUAAAUCUCUUAUUUAAUAUUGGUAUACAAUAUUAAAAUGUCAAUAAUAUUUAGAAGGGGGUUGAAUAGAUUAUUACCAAUUAUAAAAUUCCUUGGCCUUUUUGAAUUAUUUAAAUUCAAUUAAUUACUGUGAUAAAUUAAUAUGCACAAUAAGUAAAGAGAUAAAAUUCAAUCAGACAAUGAGCAUAGAUUUAGCUGGUUCACAACAUACAACCCAUGUAUGUUGCUACGUCCAAUCACAAGUUCCUCUCCAGAAUUGGGAUCCUAUUACUAUCAUCAAUAAACUUUUACUCAUUUUACAUGCGGAUAAAUCUUUACAAAGUUUUUCAAUGAUAAACUUUCAACUUAUCCUACAACUUGGACGCUCUCUGCUUCUUCCUCAAAUUUAGGUGUACUUGUCUCAUAAGUUCAGUUCUAUUUUACAAUUUGGUAUUGAAACAAGAAGUAUGUCAUUACCUCACAAGUACACAGAGACCUAACUACUCGUUGACCUCUCUAAGACUAUGGUCUUGGUCUUAGGAUCACUCACUUUUUUUACAAGUAUAUAAAAUAAAUUAACUCACACUAAAUACAUUUUCAUAAAAAGAGUUUUUGAAAUAUGCUUCAAAGAGUUUUUGAAAUAUGUUUCUUCACAUAAGCACAUAUAAUUUUAAAAUAUUAUUGUUAUUGACUUUUAAAAGUCAAUUUGAGACAUUUUUAAACUCAAAGUUAAUGAGAUUAACUAAGAAUUACAAAAAAAUAACUUAUAAUUAGUAGUGUUUUUUUUAUAUAGUUUGCAAUGUUUCUCUAUUGACUAAAAUUAAAUGAAUAUAUAUCCAUUUUAAGUUGAAAAUGUCUCAUAUUGAUUUCAAAAAGUCAAUAAUGAUAUUUUAUUUUGGAACAGAGGAAGUUUGUUGUAAUAGGGAUAUAGGGUAGAUUACUCACUUUCUACAUUGCUAGAGGAUCUUUCACUUACAAUGACUGAUCCUUAUCUUUACCGUUUAAAUCCCUUAUAUGGGUUGUCUUGAGCCCUUAUUAGAACCUGCCUAAGGCCGUCUGCUGUUCAGAGAAAUACGGAAUACAAGUUAUUAACCACUAUUUCUAAAGCUUUAUUAUUUAAAGCUAUGGCAGCUAACCAGUAAACUGGAUUUCUUCUUGGAAGCAUCGAAAUUCACCCUAACAGAAUCCUUGGGAGGGUCUGAGGUGGCACCAAUCUGGAGUUAGAGCAUGAAAAGCUGAAGCUAGCUUUUGGCUGGUAACUUGUUGCUUGGCAUUAGCAUAAUCUGCAUACCAUAAUGUAACCCCCUUAAAAUCAUAUCUGGGUUAAUCAUGCUGUGUCAACUAUGACCUUGUUUUUCUAUAACGAAAUUCUGUCAAUGAAAUUCUGUCAAUAGAACAAUCCCUAUUAAUCAAUUGUUUGGCUAUGAGCUUUGAGUAAAGGAUAUACUUAAUCCUAUCAAAUGGUGGAAUUCCAUCAGUUUUGACACCCAUUUUUUCAAACAAAACCAGUUUUGACACAUUACAGAGGAAGUAUGUGUUCCAGGAUGCUUCAAUUAUAUGGUCAGUCUAAUUUUCAACUUAUUUUCAUCUCCAGUAAUAAAGCAUUCCUUUACGAGGGUGAUGUUGGCUGGCUGGCUGCCUUAAAUACCCCCAUAUAGCAUAGCCAUUUGUGUUUUUCUCUCAAUAUCGUCUCCUGCAGCACUUCUGAGGAAGGAUAUACUGUCUCCUCCUUUUCUGGGCUUGCAGAUUUGUGUUUCAUUUACUUAAAACACCAAAAUUUAAGUAGUUUUCGCUCUUACGAAGGUCAGGAUAAAAGCUUGUUUUUAGAUGAACGAAAUUAACAUAUAUAUAUAUAUAUAUAUAUCAUGAUCCUUUAUGUUAGGCCACAAGAGGAAUGUGAAACACAUUACUGAUGGAAAAUCUAAUCACCAGUUGUACGUAUAUGCAACUGAUUGCAUCUUUUCCCAAAAUCUUUAAAUCUUUUAGGUACCAAGGCAAGAUAAAUCUUGUAUUUUUUAACAAUUUAUAUAUUUAAAAGUUUUGUCCAUCUGAAUUUCUGCAUUUCAUUACAGGGAAAUCUGGUCGGUAGAGCUGUACAAAAAUUAGGCCUGGCAAAAUAUGAUUAUGAUUUGGUUUUGGUUUUUAAAAUAUAGUUAUGGUUCCAUUUAAGAACUAAAACCAUAUUAACCAUUUUAAGAUGUUUUGACUUUUAAACAGAACUUUUGAAAAAUAAAAUUGUGACUGUCACAAUUAAAUUAAUUAAGUAAUAAUAUGAUAUAAAAAUUAUUAAUAUAAAUUAUAAAAUGACAGAACCAUUGAUUUUUUUUCUUAUAAUUAAAAUGACAUAAUAUUCAAAACUAUUUAUUUCGUUGAUUUUCUUUUCCUUAUGAUUUUGUGUAUAAAUUCGUAUUCAUAUAAUUAAUUAAAAUGACAAAAUAUUCAAAACUAUUUAUUUAUUUAUUGAAAUGUAUCAG
rnacentral:lncRNA from 1 species